CCUACGGGCGGCAGCAGUGAGGAAUAUUGGUCAAUGGCCGCGAGGCUGAACCAGCCAAGCCGCGUGAAGGAUGACUGUCCCAAGCGUUGUAAACUUCUUUUGUCAAGGGACAAAGUCAGGCUCGUGAGCCUGUCCGAAUGUACUUGAAGAAUAAGCAUCGGCUAACUCCGUGCCAGCAGCCGCGGUAAUACGGAGGAUCCGAGCGUUAUCCGGAUUUAUUGGGUUUAAAGGGGGCGUAGGCGGGGUGUUAAGUCAGCUGUGAAAGUUUGGGGCUCAACCGUAACAGUGCAGUUGAUACUGGCAGUCUUGAGUAGACGUGAGGUAGGCGGAAUGCGUGGUGUAGCGGUGAAAUGCUUAGAUAUCGCGAAGAACUCCGAUUGCGAAGGCAGCAUACU
rnacentral:rRNA from 1 species